AUGGAGGAAGCGGAUGGGAGUGGAGGAGGCAUCCCCUCCGUGCUGCCUCUCGGCUCGCUCAUCUCUCCUUCCGGGAACGAGGUGGAGCUCCCGGAGCUAGACGGCAAGAUCAUCGGCCUAUACUUCGCCGCCAACUGGUACCCCAAGUGCGAGGCCUUCACCCCGGCGCUGGCCGCCGCGUACCAGCAGCUCAGGGAGCGCGGCGCCGGCUUCGAGGUCGUCUUCGUGUCGUGCGACGAGGACCGGCCGUCCUUCGAGCGCUUCCACCGCGCCAUGCCGUGGCCCGCCGUGCCCUUCGGCGACCUCCGCUGCAAGAAGAGCCUCAGCGACAUGUUCCGGGUCGAGGGCAUCCCGCGCCUGGUGGUGCUCGCCCCGGGCGGCGCCGAGGUCGUCUGCCCCGACGCCGUCGAGCUCGUGCACCGCUACGGCGACCCGGCGUUCCCGUUCACGCCGGCCAGGGUGGCGGAGCUGGAGGCCGACGAGCGGAGCAAGUUCGCCUCCCAGACGCUGGAGAAGCUCUUCUCCGUCAGCCACGUCAAGAACGGCGGCGACGAACAGGUCCCCAUCGCGAGCUUGGUCGGGAAGACGGUGGGGCUCUACUUCUCGGCGCACGGGUGCGAGCCGUGCGCCAAGUUCACCGCGAGGCUGGCCGCCAUCUACGGCAACCUGAAGGGCAAGUCGGCGGCGUUCGAGGUGGUGUACAUCCCCAUGGACAAGGAGGAGGACGGGUACGAGCGGUCGCGGCGCGGCAUGCCGUGGCUGGCGCUGCCGUACGACGGCGGCGACGGCGCGCAGUCGCGGGCGCUGGCCAGGUACUUCGACGUGCGGGAGAUCCCGACGCUGGUGGUGAUCGGGCCGGACGGCAAGACGGUGACGAGGGAUGGGAGGAACCUGGUGAACCUCUACUUCGACAUGGCGUUCCCGUUCACGGAGGAGCAGGUGCGGCUGUUGCAGGAGCUGGAGGACGAGCAGGCCAAGGGGUACGCGCCGUCGCUGCGCCACGCCGGGCACCGGCACGAGCUGAGCGUCGUGUCGGAGAAGUCCGGCGGAGGGCCGUACGUCUGCUGCGAGUGCGACGAGCAGGGGUUCGGCUGGGCGUACCAGUGCAUCGCCUGCGGCUACGAGAUACACCUCCGGUGCGGCCGGGACGUGGAAGCCGGCGGCGCCGUGGGAGCUGGUCAGUAG
rnacentral:rRNA from 1 species